rnacentral:rRNA from 1 species
UACGUAGGGUGCAAGCGUUAAUCGGAAUUACUGGGCGUAAAGCGUGCGCAGGCGGUUCUGUAAGACAGAUGUGAAAUCCCCGGGCUUAACCUGGGAAUUGCAUUUGUGACUGCAGGACUAGAGUUCAUCAGAGGGGGGUGGAAUUCCAAGUGUAGCAGUGAAAUGCGUAGAUAUUUGGAAGAACACCAAUGGCGAAGGCAGCCCCCUGGGAUGCGACUGACGCUCAUGCACGAAAGCGUGGGGAGCAAACAGG